ensembl:lncRNA
AAAAAACAGCACCUCAUUACAUCAAAAAAGGCACUUUUAAGAGCCACAUUUGUUUUGUUUAUUGUCUUAUUUGUAUUGUUUAUUGUCUUGUUAUCUCAGUCUCUCUCUCUCUCUCUCUCUCUCACUCUCUCUCCAUCCCUCUCCCUCUCUCUCUCUCUCUCUCUCUCUCUCUCACUCUCUUUCCAUCCCUCUCUCCCUCUCUCUCUCCCCUACCAUCUGAGUGGUGGUUGCUUUUUAGAGGGACGGAGGACCUGGGUUGCUGCCUCUUCUUCACUCAUUAAUGACAAAGCCAAAAUUCAGGCCUUGCCCAAGCUGCCAAGUCCGUCAGCAGGCCAACCGCAAAAACAUGCAGUGCUUGUUUUGCCACACUGCCAAGCAAGCGGUUAUUAAAAACUGCAAAAAUUAAUGAUGACUGGGGCCAGAGGGUCGUCAAAAACAAAAAUGCAUCUCGGGUGGUGGCCUCUGCCCAAAUAGCUGUAAGUAAAAAUGCUCAUGCUUCAUUAAUUGAGUGGUAAUCAAUAUUAAGCCCAAAGAACAUACAGUAUUUGGUACCAUGUUUGUUGAUGGACAUAGCAGCCAUGCUGUGUGCUGUGUACCAGGCUUCACAUGCGUGCCUGGAUGUUGGAAGUUGGCACAUCUUGUCAGUAUGAAAUUUUAGACAGAC